rnacentral:other from 1 species
UUACCCCUGCCGUGUUCGUGAUUGAUAGAUGUUCUUUGAUCCAACACUUAUUGAAGCGGCACCUUACUUGGCAUCGGUGUGCAUGUUCUGCUGGUACAGAAAAGCCUAAAGACGCCACAAGGAGCCCAGGUCAUACCCCAGGUUCAAAGGCCUACCAACACGGCAUUGUGGUGGGGGUUUC